AUAAGUCCAUUCAAAAUUAAAAACUCCAAGUCCAUUAGUGGAACACACUCCUCUAGGUAUUUUGUCAGUAUGACCGUUCAAUCUGACAAGGCAGCUGAUAAUGGAAAACCAAAUAACAGCUGCAUUCAGACCACAAACACCUCCUUGGAAGGAAAAUGCAUAUGUGAGCCAAGCAAGGGCAAAAAGAAUGUCUCUCAAAAAAGAGCCUACCCAUGUUAAUGUUUCUGUGGAAGAUCUACAUUAAUUCAUUCAACAAAUACUGGGAAAGCUACCAUGUGCCAGGCAUUACCCAAAGUGCUAGAGAUAGAAUAGUGAACAGAACAGACAGAAACCCCUCCAAAGGGUUAUAUUCCAAAGGAGUAAGGGAGGAAAAUGACAUAACUCCAAAAGUAUUUAAUUGUGCUGGUACAUUCUCUUCUUAUUUUUCAUGAUCUGAACAUCCAUCUGAAUCAAUGAGAAACGCGGCAAACCAAAAACCUCCUUCAUGCCUCAACAUUUAGGGUAAAGUGUGAAACAAUAUGCAUGUUAAUCUAACCUACACUGUCUGAGGCCCUGAAUUGCAGGUCACUAAUUUGGCUUAAACUCUUAAAUACUCGUUUUCAUUUCCCUUCAUAGGAAACA
rnacentral:lncRNA from 1 species